GCAUCACUGGUGUUCGGGUUGUCAUGCCAAUGGCACUGCCCGGUAGCUAAAUGCGGAAGAGAUAAGUGCUGAAAGCAUCUAAGCACGAAACUUGCCCCGAGAUGAGUUCUCCCUGAGACUUUAGGUCUCCUGAAGGAACGUUGAAGACGACGACGUUGAUAGGCCGGGUGUGUAAGCGCAGCGAUGCGUUGAGCUAACCGGUACUAAUGAACCGUGAGGCUUAACCUU
rnacentral:rRNA from 1 species